GUGUUAAUGGCCCGUUCCCACAAUGCCCCACAGGGGGCCAAAACUGUGUGCAUUACUCACUGUGUUUUUUUGCUCAUUCUCUGCCUGUGGUGUAAAUAUAUUGUUGAAAAUGUCCAGAAGGCCUGCAAAUAUCUCUAUGGGUAACAGUGAUAAGAAAAAGAGGAAGCAUUCAUGUUUAUCUAUAGCACAGAACAUCAAGCUGCUGGAGAAACUGGACAGCAGUGUAAGUGUGUAGCAUCUUGCUGGAAAGUGUGGUGUUGGAAUGGACCUCAAUCAUGUAUGAAAAGAGUGGAUCAUUGGCAGUGGACAUAUGCCACUUAAUGGUAUGCUGACCAUGAAGCAAGCAGAGAUCUAUGAUGAUGGACUGAAAAUUGAAGAGAACUGUGAAUAUUCAACAGGCUGGCGGCAGAAAUUUAAGUAAAGAUACAGCAUUAAAUUUUUAAACAAUUGUGGUGACAAAGCAUCUGUUGGUUAUAAAGCAGCAGAUAAAUUCAUUGGUGAGUUUGCCAAGGUCAUGGUUGAUGAAAUCUGAUGCCAAAGUCUUUUUUUUUUUUUUUUGAGACAGAGUCUCACUCUGUUGCCCAGGCUGGAGAGCAGUGGCAUGAUCUCUGCUCACUGCCACCUCCACCUCCUGGGUUCAAGCGAUUCUCCUGCCUCAGCCUCCCAGUAGCUGGGAUUACAGGUGCCCACCACUACGCCCGGCUAACAUUUUUGUAUUUUUAGUAGAGACAGGGUUUCACCAUGUUGGCUAGGCUGGUUUUGAACUCCUGACCUCAAGUGAUCCACCCGCCUCGGCCUCCCAAGUGCUACGAUUACAGGUAUGAGCCACCGUGCACAGCCAGAACAAGUCUUUAAUGCUGAUGAGACAUCACUGUCUUGGCAUUAUUGCCCCAGAAAGACACUGACUACAGCUGAUGAGACAGCACUUAUAGGAAUUAAGGAUGCCAAGGAGAGGAUAACUAUGCUUAGAUGUGCUAAUGCAAUAGGCAUGCAUAAGUGUACUUGCUGCGAGAAGCAA
rnacentral:lncRNA from 1 species